UCUUCUUUUCUCGUAGAAACUUUGUUUCAUUCUUCUCUUCAACCAAAUAAAUAAAAAGAAUAGAAUCAGUCUUCUCUGAUCUUCACCAUGUCAGCCACGACUCACUCCUUCUUCCGUCACUCCAAUCAACUCUUACGAAGAUACAAGUCAUGAUAUUCACUCGUACUUCAGCCCACGAGACUCUCCUUCUCCUUAACUCCAAUGUCCAUCUACUCAUAGCUUAUACAAGUCACGACUAAUGCUCAGCUCGAACCAUCAGAUCAGUCAGUUAUGUUUUCUCGGGAGAAUCUUGUUUCAAAAAAAGGCGAUCCAAAUCUGAUUUACACACCGAACAAUGAAAUGUUUUUAAAUCAACACUGCGGAAAGAGAGACUUGCUAUAUAUAUACUUCAGCACGGCAUGCGGUGUGGUGCUGAUCUACUGCGGUUUGAAGACGCGUAGGUUGUGGCCGACUCACGACUUGCUUCCUCCAGACCGGAAGGAAGGCUUCGAGUUGAAGCAGAUGGUUCGGGAGCCAGGUGUCAGAACCUAGCAAAACCAUCAGCAAAACCAUCGUGGGUGGAUCUCGCAUCUGCCGGUUCUAAUGGUGAUUCUCUGCAUCUGUUAAUAGGUUCAGAACUUCCUUAUGGGGGCUCGUACAAAUUAGACCAACCAACUUUGUAUGAUGUUGUAUGAUGGAAUAUCUAUGGGGCCCCUACUAUUAGACCAACUUUUUGGACUUCAAGCCAAAAAGACUAGCCAAAAAGACGCACACUCGUACAAAUUAGACCAACUUUGUAUGAUGUAUGAUUUAAGUAAAACGAAGCUUAUUGAGAUU